GAACAAACGCUGGCGGCGUGUCUUAAGCAUGCAAGUUGAGCGGCAAGGAGGAGAGAUCCUCCCUAGAGCAGCGGACUGGUGAGUAACGCGUGGGUAAUCUAUCUUAGGCAUGGGGAUAGUCACUAGAAAUAGUGGGUAAUACCGAAUAAGUUCCAUAAGGGGAGGACUUAUGGAAGAAAGGUGCUACGGCACUGGCCUUAGGUGAGCUCGCGUCCCAUUAGCUAGUUGGUGAGGUAAAGGCCCACCAAGGCGAUGAUGGGUAGCCGGCCUGAGAGGGUGUACGGCCACACUGGGACUGAGAUACGGCCCAGACUCCUACGGGAGGCAGCAGCUAAGAAUAUUCCGCAAUGGACGGAAGUCUGACGGAGCGACGCCGCGUGGAUGAAGAAGGCCGAAAGGUUGUAAAGUUCUUUUGCUAGGGGAGAAUAAGUGUGGGAGGGAAUGCCUGCACGAUGACAAGGACUAGCGAAUAAGUCCCGGCCAACUACGUGCCAGCAGCCGCGGUAACACGUAGGGGGCGAGCGUUGUUCGGAAUUACUGGGCGUAAAGGGCAUGUAGGCGGCUUGGUAAGCCUGGCGUGAAAGUCUGCAGCUUAACUGUAGGGAUGCGUUGGGAACUGCUUAGCUUGAGUUACGGAGAGGGAGCUGGAAUUCCUGGUGUAGGGGUGAAAUCUGUAGAUAUCAGGAAGAACACCGAUGGCGAAGGCAAGCUUCUGGCCGACAACUGACGCUGAGGUGCGAAAGUGUGGGGAUCAAACAGGAUUAGAUACCCUGGUAGUCCACACAGUAAACGAUGUGCACGAGGUGCUGGGGCGGUAGUUUCAGUGCCGGAGCGAACGCGGUAAGUGCACCGCCUGGGGAGUACGGCCGCAAGGUUAAAACUCAAAGGAAUUGACGGGUCCCCGCACAAGCAGCGGAGCGUGUGGUUUAAUUCGAUGCUACACGAAGAACCUUACCUGGGUUUGACAUAGAGGUAGUAGGGAAGCGAAAGCGGACCGACCCUUCGGGGAGCCUCUACAGGUGUUGCAUGGCUGUCGUCAGCUCGUGUCGUGAGAUGUUCGGUUAAGUCCGCUAACGAGCGCAACCCUCGCUGUGUGUUACAAGUGUCACACGGUACUGCCGAUAUUAAGUCGGAGGAAGGUGGGGAUGACGUCAAGUCAGCAUGACCUUUAUAUCCAGGGCUACACACACGCUACAAUGGCCAGUACAAUGGGUUGCCAAGCCGCGAGGCGGAGCCAAUCCUAAAAAGCUGGCCUCAGUUCAGAUUGCAGUCUGCAACUCGACUGCAUGAAGUUGGAGUUGCUAGUAACCGCAGGUCAGCAAUACUGCAGUGAAUACGUUCCCGGGGAU
rnacentral:rRNA from 1 species